rnacentral:rRNA from 1 species
AUUGAACGCUGGCGGCAGGCCUAACACAUGCAAGUCGAGCGGAGCGGCGGACGGGUGCGUAAUGCUUAGGAAUCUGCCUGGUAGUGGGGGAUAAAGUUCGGAAAUGGGAGCUAAUACUGCAUACUAUCAGAUAAGCCUAGGUCGGAUUAGCGAGUUGGUGGGGUAAAGGCCUACCAAGUCGCCGAUCCGUAUCUGGUCCGAGAGGAUGAUCAUGCACACUGGAACUGAGACACUGUCCAUACUCCUACGGGAGGCAGCAGUGGGGAAUAUUGUACAAUGGGCGAAAGCCUGAUCCAGCCAUGCCGCGUGUGUGAAGAAGGUCUUCGGAUUGUAAAGCACUUUAAGUUGGUAGGCGUUACCAACAGAAUAAGCACCGGCUAACUUCGUGCCAGCAGCCGCGGUAAUAC